GACGAACGCUGGCGGCGUGCUUAACACAUGCAAGUCGAACGGAAAGGCCUGCUUUCCCUUGUGGAUUGCGGGUGCUCGAGUGGCGAACGGGUGAGUAACACGUGAGUGAUCUGCCCCCAACUUGGGUAUAAGCCUGGGAAACUGGGUCUAAUUCCCGAUAGGACUGCAGGGUGGUGCCUGUGGUGGAAAACGAUUUUCUAGUGGUUGGGGAUGAGCUCGCGGCCUAUCAGCUUGUUGGUGGGGUAAUGGCCUACCAAGGCGGCGACGGGUAGCCGGCCUGAGAGGGUGGACGGCCACAUUGGGACUGAGAUGCGGCCCAGACUCCUACGGGAGGCAGCAGUGGGGAAUAUUGCACAAUGGGCGGAAGCCUGAUGCAGCGACGCCGCGUGGGGGAUGACGGCCUUCGGGUUGUAAACUCCUUUCGACCGCGAGGAAGCCACCUGGUUGGAAGGGUGGUGACGGUAGUGGUAGAAGAAGCACCGGCUAACUACGUG
rnacentral:rRNA from 1 species